rnacentral:rRNA from 1 species
UACGGGGGGGGCAAGCGUUGUUCGGAAUUACUGGGCGUAAAGGGCUCGUAGGUGGCCAACUAAGUCAGACGUGAAAUCCCUCGGCUUAACCGGGGAACUGCGUCUGAUACUGGAUGGCUUGAGUGUGGGAGAGGGAUGCGGAAUUCCAGGUGUAGCGGCGAAAUGCGUAGAUAUCUGGAGGAACACCGGUGGCGAAGGCGGCAUCCUGGACCAAUUCUGACGCUGAGGAGCGAAAGCCAGGGGAGCAAACGGG